AGUCGAGCGGAACGAGAAUAGCUUGCUAUUCGGCGUCGAGCGGCGGACGGGUGAGUAAUGCUUGGGAAUAUGCCUUUUGGUGGGGGACAACAGUUGGAAACGACUGCUAAUACCGCAUAAUGUUUACGGACCAAAGCGGGGGAUUCUUCGGAACCUCGUGCCAAAAGAUUAGCCCAAGUGAGAUUAGCUAGUUGGUGGGGUAAUGGCCUACCAAGGCGACGAUCUCUAGCUGGUUUGAGAGGAUGAUCAGCCACACUGGGACUGAGACACGGCCCAGACUCCUACGGGAGGCAGCAGUGGGGAAUAUUGCACAAUGGGGGAAACCCUGAUGCGGCCAUGCCGCGUGUGUGAAGAAGGCCUUCGGGUUGUAAAGCACUUUCAGUCGUGAGGAAAGGGGUGUAGCUAAUAUCUGCAUCCUGUGACGUUAGCGACAGAAGAAGCACCGGCUAACUCCGUGCCAGCAGCCGCGGUAAUACGGAGGGUGCGAGCGUUAAUCGGAAUUACUGGGCGUAAAGCGUGCGUAGGCGGUUUGAUAAGCCAGAUGUGAAAUCCCGGGGCUUAACCUCGGAACUGCAUUUGGAACUGUUUGACUAGAGUACUGUAGAGGGUGGUGGAAUUUCCAGUGUAGCGGUGAAAUGCGUAGAGAUUGGAAGGAACAUCAGUGGCGAAGGCGGCCACCUGGACAGAUACUGACGCUGAGGCACGAAAGCGUGGGGAGCGAACAGGAUUAGAUACCCUGGUAGUCCACGCCGUAAACGAUGUCAACUAGCUGUUUGUGUUCUUGAAACGUAAGUAGCGUAGCUAACGCGCUAAGUUGACCGCCUGGGGAGUACGG
rnacentral:rRNA from 1 species